CUCAAGAUUAAGCCAUGCAAGUGGUUACAUUAACCCGACAGUUUAAAUAAGUGUUCAAUGCUAUCACGCAUAUAUGCAAUGCAUGCAAAAAUAUAUUUACGCAUACACACACACACACCCGCGCAUAUAUAUUAAGGCAAGCAACGCAUGAAUUUUGUUUACGAUAGUAACAAAAUUUCAGCGUGAAUCACACAUACGCACACAGUGAAUCAAAGCGAAAUUUUACAAUUUCAACGUAUCACUUACGCAACUGCAGACAGCUGCUUAAUACAGUCACACUUGUCUUGACUUGGCACACACACACACACACACACACGAUUUCUCUGUAUCGCAUAUUCAUACAAGAAGAAAAUUGCGUUACACCGUGACACUUUUUAUCUUUUUUAUGGAUAACUCAGGGAAAGUUUGGCUAAUACGUACGAGUACAAUACACACACACACACACACACACACUCUAUACAMUACUCAACACUCAGUGRUAAUCUUUGAUUUAYGUGUAUUCUUACGCGUCUAUCAWUAUAAAGUUUAAUCGCAACAUGAGAGACAUUGAGCACGCACGUGUARUGUGAAUUUAUUCACGUUACACACCCACGCUGAGCAGACUKUGCGAAGUUUACUUUUGCGAAGCAUGUCAUACAAGCAUCUACAGCAUCAAGUCACAGGGUUGGCAAGUGUAUUUUUGAACCUUCAAAGCAGUCACGCAUACGGAAGAGUAGUUUCUGAUCCCAUAGAAGGAGCACCGUACAAUGAGAGACCGCUCUUAGUUCUAAGGAACGCAGCAGGCGCGUAAAUUGCCCAAUGCUAGUACCCUACAAUCAUACUAUAUUUGCAAUUUACUUUAUUACGCAUUACGACACUGUACUAUUUUAUUCUGUUAUACACACACACACACACAUCCUUGUUCACACGCGUAAGUAAGUUAUUAUAUAUAUACGUAUAUUUUAUUUACUGAGGCAGUGACAAGCUGUAACGGUUGAGUAUAAAAAUGACGAGUGUCUGGCAUUGCCGCUCCUUCGGGAGCUUGGCAAGUUGCCGACGCUUUGUGUGCUCAAUUGGAAUGCGGUGAGUUUAAGCAACUCAGAACCUUUUAACGGUGUUACGUAAAAAUUUCACUGUUGAUGUAUCUGAAUUCAAGUGGAGGGCAAGUCUGGUGC
rnacentral:rRNA from 1 species